rnacentral:tRNA from 1 species
CAGAGAGUAGUUUAAAUUAAAAUAAUAAUUUUGGAGAUUAUUGAUAAGAGUUAUUUCUUUUCUCUGA